rnacentral:rRNA from 1 species
UACGAAGGGGGCUAGCGUUGCUCGGAAUUACUGGGCGUAAAGCGCGCGUAGGCGGCUUUGCAAGUCGGGUGUGAAAUCCCCAGGCUUAACCUGGGAACUGCAUUCGAGACUGCAUUGCUAGAGUAUGGGAGAGGGAAGUGGAAUUUCCGGUGUAGCGGUGAAAUGCGUAGAUAUCGGAAGGAACAUCAGUGGCGAAAGCGACUUCCUGGACCAAUACUGACGCUCAUGUGCGAAAGCGUAGGUAGCAAACAGG